GAUGAACGCUGGCGGCGUGCCUAGUACAUGCAAGUCGAGCGAACAGACGAGGAGCUUGCUCCUCUGCCGUUAGCGGCGGACGGGUGAGUAACACGUGGAUAACCUACCUAUAAGACUGGGAUAACUUCGGGAAACCGGAGCUAAUACCGGAUAAUAUAUUGAACCGCAUGGUUCAAUAGUGAAAGACGGUUUUGCUGUCACUUAUAGAUGGAUCCGCGCCGCAUUAGCUAGUUGGUAAGGUAACGGCUUACCAAGGCGACGAUGCGUAGCCGACCUGAGAGGGUGAUCGGCCACACUGGAACUGAGACACGGUCCAGACUCCUACGGGAGGCAGCAGUAGGGAAUCUUCCGCAAUGGGCGAAAGCCUGACGGAGCAACGCCGCGUGAGUGAUGAAGGUCUUCGGAUCGUAAAGCUCUGUUAUUAGGGAAGAACAAAUGUGUAAGUAACUAUGCACGUCUUGACGGUACCUAAUCAGAAAGCCACGGCUAACUACGUG
rnacentral:rRNA from 1 species